rnacentral:lncRNA from 1 species
CAUAAAUAAACAAGGAAGUAAGGAAGUUAACCACUAAUUCAUGACCACCAUUGCUUUUUAAUUUAAUUCUGCACUUUCAGGCUUUUAUAGCUCAUAGGUGACUUGCAAUUCAAAUUACAAAAUUUUAUUAUUUUGGCUGGGUUUGAAAAAAAUCAAAAUACCAUUAAUUGCAUGGCAGAAAACACUGUAUUGUUUAAAAAAAUGUAAAAGUGCAAAAACAUGUUUUUCAUGUCUAAGAAACAUGUAUAUAUCUCCUUCUAUUUUUUUUGUUUUUACAAUUUAAUAUUAUUAGUUAGGCUGAACAUCCAAUAAGGAUAAUACAGUGAUCUCAACUUCUUAAAACUUAAUUUGAUACCUAAAUAAACAAACUAUUAUACAAAUUUCAAAAUAUACAGCUAUGCCACAGAGCUAUCUGUGUCCUGAAUUUGUGGUUCAGUUUUUAAUUCUUAAAUAGAAAUACUUGUCGAUACUAAGUGUCACAAUUCUGACAUUGAUUUCUUCAUACACAAAGUAUGCUCUCUGAACAAAUAUUAGCACCAACAAUAACUCUUGUAGAGCUUGUUUGACUAGGUUGGAUAAUUAAAUGAAUAUAUAAAUGCAUCUGAGGAUAAAAAUAGGACAAUAAAAAUAAUCGAAGUAUUUUUCAUUUAAAGAAAUAAGUCACAAUUUUGCUACAGUUUUUUAAAUCCUUGGAGUUAAAAUUAUUAAAUACUUUUCUUAUCUUAAUUUGGAAUAUAUUCUCAAGUAGGAUAUAAUGGUACUAUAUGGGUUUGGUAAAUAAAUAUGUGUGGGGUACCAAUAUUUCAUGGCUCUCCAGGUUAUUACUAACCAAUUACAAAUUGUACAUAGAAAUAUAUGAGAAUUUGUCAACACUACAAAAUCCAGUAUCCAAAGAAAUACCAAUUUUUAUUAAACCAAGAAAAAAAGUAUGCAUGAAAAUAAUUAAAACCACAAAAUAUUUCUUUAAGUUGUAAUUAUAUCACGAAAAAAUUACUUUCAAAAGAAG